GCUGGCGGCAGGCUUAACACAUGCAAGUCGAGCGGGGGAGGUUGCUUCGGUAACUGACCUAGCGGCGGACGGGUGAGUAAUACUUAGGAAUCUGCCUAUUAAUGGGGGACAACAUCUCGAAAGGGAUGCUAAUACCGCAUACGCCCUACGGGGGAAAGCAGGGGAUCACUUGUGACCUUGCGUUAAUAGAUGAGCCUAAGUCGGAUUAGCUAGUUGGUGGGGUAAAGGCCUACCAAGGCGACGAUCUGUAGCGGGUCUGAGAGGAUGAUCCGCCACACUGGGACUGAGACACGGCCCAGACUCCUACGGGAGGCAGCAGUGGGGAAUAUUGGACAAUGGGGGGAACCCUGAUCCAGCCAUGCCGCGUGUGUGAAGAAGGCCUUAUGGUUGUAAAGCACUUUAAGCGAGGAGGAGGCUCUCUUGGUUAAUACCCAAGAAGAGUGGACGUUACUCGCAGAAUAAGCACCGGCUAACUCUGUGCCAGCAGCCGCGGUAAUACAGAGGGUGCGAGCGUUAAUCGGAUUUACUGGGCGUAAAGCGUGCGUAGGCGGCUUUUUAAGUCGGAUGUGAAAUCCCCGAGCUUAACUUGGGAAUUGCAUUCGAUACUGGGAAGCUAGAGUAUGGGAGAGGAUGGUAGAAUUCCAGGUGUAGCGGUGAAAUGCGUAGAGAUCUGGAGGAAUACCGAUGGCGAAGGCAGCCAUCUGGCCUAAUACUGACGCUGAGGUACGAAAGCAUGGGGAGCAAACAGGAUUAGAUACCCUGGUAGUCC
rnacentral:rRNA from 1 species